UUAAGUUAUUAAGGGCGCACGGUGGAUGCCUUGGCACUAGAAGCCGAUGAAGGACGUUACUAACGACGAUAUGCUUUGGGGAGCUGUAAGUAAGCUUUGAUCCAGAGAUUUCCGAAUGGGGAAACCCAGCAUGAGUUAUGUCAUGUUAUCGAUAUGUGAAUACAUAGCAUAUCAGAAGGCACACCCGGAGAACUGAAACAUCUUAGUACCCGGAGGAAGAGAAAGAAAAUUCGAUUCCCUUAGUAGCGGCGAGCGAAACGGGAAGAGCCCAAACCAACAAGCUUGCUUGUUGGGGUUGUAGGACACUCUAUACGGAGUUACAAAGGACGACAUUAGACGAAUCAUCUGGAAAGAUGAAUCAAAGAAGGUAAUAAUCCUGUAGUCGAAAAUGUUGUCUCUCUUGAGUGGAUCCUGAGUACGACGGAGCACGUGAAAUUCCGUUGGAAUCUGGGAGGACCAUCUCCUAAGGCUAAAUACUCUCUAGUGACCGAUAGUGAACCAGUACCGUGAGGGAAAGGUGAAAAGCACCCCGGAAGGGGAGUGAAAUAGAACCUGAAACCGUGUGCUUACAAGUAGUCAGAGCCCGUUAAUGGGUGAUGGCGUGCCUUUUGUAGAAUGAACCGGCGAGUUACGAUUUGAUGCAAGGUUAAGCAGUAAAUGUGGAGCCGUAGCGAAAGCGAGUCUGAAUAGGGCGUUUAGUAUUUGGUCGUAGACCCGAAACCAGGUGAUCUACCCUUGGUCAGGUUGAAGUUCAGGUAACACUGAAUGGAGGACCGAACCGACUUACGUUGAAAAGUGAGCGGAUGAACUGAGGGUAGCGGAGAAAUUCCAAUCGAACCUGGAGAUAGCUGGUUCUCUCCGAAAUAGCUUUAGGGCUAGCCUCAAGUGAUGAUUAUUGGAGGUAGAGCACUGUUUGGACGAGGGGCCCCUCUCGGGUUACCGAAUUCAGACAAACUCCGAAUGCCAAUUAAUUUAACUUGGGAGUCAGAACAUGGGUGAUAAGGUCCGUGUUCGAAAGGGAAACAGCCCAGACCACCAGCUAAGGUCCCAAAAUAUAUGUUAAGUGGAAAAGGAUGUGGCGUUGCCCAGACAACUAGGAUGUUGGCUUAGAAGCAGCCAUCAUUUAAAGAGUGCGUAAUAGCUCACUAGUCGAGUGACACUGCGCCGAAAAUGUACCGGGGCUAAACAUAUUACCGAAGCUGUGGAUUGUCCUUUGGACAAUGGUAGGAGAGCGUUCUAAGGGCGUUGAAGCAUGAUCGUAAGGACAUGUGGAGCGCUUAGAAGUGAGAAUGCCGGUGUGAGUAGCGAAAGACGGGUGAGAAUCCCGUCCACCGAUUGACUAAGGUUUCCAGAGGAAGGCUCGUCCGCUCUGGGUUAGUCGGGUCCUAAGCUGAGGCCGACAGGCGUAGGCGAUGGAUAACAGGUUGAUAUUCCUGUACCACCUAUAAUCGUUUUAAUCGAUGGGGGGACGCAGUAGGAUAGGCGAAGCGUGCGAUUGGAUUGCACGUCUAAGCAGUAAGGCUGAGUAUUAGGCAAAUCCGGUACUCAUUAAGGCUGAGCUGUGAUGGGGAGAAGACAUUGUGUCUUCGAGUCGUUGAUUUCACACUGCCGAGAAAAGCCUCUAGAUAGAAAAUAGGUGCCCGUACCGCAAACCGACACAGGUAGUCAAGAUGAGAAUUCUAAGGUGAGCGAGCGAACUCUCGUUAAGGAACUCGGCAAAAUGACCCCGUAACUUCGGGAGAAGGGGUGCUCUUUAGGGUUAACGCCCAGAAGAGCCGCAGUGAAUAGGCCCAAGCGACUGUUUAUCAAAAACACAGGUCUCUGCUAAACCGUAAGGUGAUGUAUAGGGGCUGACGCCUGCCCGGUGCUGGAAGGUUAAGAGGAGUGGUUAGCUUCUGCGAAGCUACGAAUCGAAGCCCCAGUAAACGGCGGCCGUAACUAUAACGGUCCUAAGGUAGCGAAAUUCCUUGUCGGGUAAGUUCCGACCCGCACGAAAGGCGUAACGAUUUGGGCACUGUCUCAACGAGAG
rnacentral:rRNA from 1 species